rnacentral:lncRNA from 1 species
CCUUAGCUAGGUUGGACCAAAACUAGGAGAUGUCCAUGAAGGGGGUGUUUCCUUGGAUGAUGAGUAUGGAAAUGGAGUGAGAAAAGGUCCAAGGUUAUGUAUCUAGGGCAGGACAAGGUGAUACCCUCAUGGUUUUGGUGGAUAUGGUGAUGGUGAGGUGGUGUUUGAUGGCUCCAUGAGAGGUGAGGCCAACUCAAGAAGGAAGGUGACUAAAGGGGCCUAUAGGGUUUCUUUAGUCUUGAUCUAGGAAGUGUA